GAAGCGGGUCGGGCGGCCGCGUUUGUCUGGAGUGCGAAAGCACUUUACAGGCAAAUGAGGAAAGUCCGGGUACCAAAGGGCAUGAUGCUUCCUAACGGGAAGGCGGGGCAACCCGACGGCACAGUGCAACAGAAAAUAGACCACCACGUGUGUUCACUGUAGGGGCAGGCAAUUGCCUGCCCCAAACAUACACACGAGGAAAGGGUGAAACGGCGAGGUAAGAGCUCACCGCCCGUACUGGUAACAGUCGGGGCAAGGCAAACCCCAUCAGGUACAAGGCCAAAUAGGGAAGGAUGGAACGGCCCGUUCCGUUUGAACUUCCGGGUAGGCUGCACGAGGUACGUCGCGAGGCGUACACUAGAGAGAUGGUCGCACAAAUACAGAACCCGGCUUACAGAUCCGCUUCUCCC
rnacentral:RNase_P_RNA from 1 species